rnacentral:lncRNA from 1 species
UUGGUUGGUUGAUUUUAAUUUAUGAAAAAAGGUUGUCUUAGUUUUGAAUUAGAUGCACGGGACAAAAAAUAAAAAAUAAAAGAUUUGAUGUGUGAUGUGGAUUUUAAUUGUGUUUUGAAUUAUAAAAAACGUUAAGUUAAUUCGAUUGUGAAAAAAGUUUAUUUACAAGUGAUACAAAUAAUAUAAUCGGAGAAAUUAUACAUAUUUACAUAUUUAAAUAUCUAAUGAAAACUAACUAAACUAUUCUUUUUCUAUUUUUGAUAUUUAAUAAAGCAAACUUUUUUUU